UAGCUCAGGGGUAGAGCAGCGGUUUCGUAAACCGUCGGUCGUCGGUUCGAAUCCG
rnacentral:tRNA from 1 species